rnacentral:rRNA from 1 species
UACGUAGGGUGCAAGCGUUGUCCGGAAUUAUUGGGCGUAAAGCGCACGUAGGCGGAUGUGUCAGUCAGGGGUGAAAUCCCGGAGCUCAACUUCGGAACUGCCUUUGAUACAGCACGUCUUGAGUCCGGAAGAGGUGGGUGGAAUUCCUAGUGUAGAGGUGAAAUUCGUAGAUAUUAGGAAGAACACCGGUGGCGAAGGCGGCCCACUGGUCCGGUACUGACGCUGAGGUGCGAAAGCGUGGGGAGCAAACAGG